rnacentral:rRNA from 1 species
UACGUAGGUGGCGAGCGUUAUCCGGAUUUACUGGGUGUAAAGGGCGUGUAGGCGGGACUGCAAGUCAGAUGUGAAAAUUAUGGGCUCAACCCAUAACCUGCAUUUGAAACUGUAGUUCUUGAGUGAUGGAGAGGCAGGCGGAAUUCCGUGUGUAGCGGUGAAAUGCGUAGAUAUACGGAGGAACACCAGUGGCGAAGGCGGCCUGCUGGACAGCAACUGACGCUGAGGCGCGAAAGCGUGGGGAGCAA